UCUGCUUCUGUUAAUGACACUCUGUAAACAUCUGAGAACUGAGGAGACCAGUUGCUGGAAUUUUGGGAGAGGAAUGAUGUCACCUUCUUGUCUGAUAUAGGAUACUAGCAGCUCAACAGUUGUGGGUCAUCUUUGUCAUAUUUUUCAUUUCAUGCUGCGCUAAAGGACUUCAGUUUUGUGAAAGAGUCAGCACCAGGACUCUUCUGCUAAGACGCCAUGCUGAUGUAACAGAUGAAGUAUGCACUUUAGCAUUGUCUUCACUGUAAAGGACUGCUGUAAAUUUACAGCUAGUUUCCUACAGUAUUUUCCUGUAUUUUGUUUACACAGUAACAUGCUGUAAUAUUUUAAAGAAUGGCCGUACAUCUACAGCAAGGAGCUGUUUUCAAAACUUAAUACAGUAAUAUAUCAAAAAUACAGUAACAUACUGUAAACUAGUUAAGACACAGUAACAUACUGUACAAGCAAGGCAUUCUGGGAUUGGUUUGAAUGAGGAAGUAAGAGCGGUGCAAGCUGAGCAGAGGUUUUGGUUCAGAAAACCACAUUAGAACUUUUAGAACUUCUCUUACGUCCUGUUAAUUAUGUUAUAGCUUAUAAUUAUUUAUCUUUUUAUCACUCCGCCUAUUCAAUUCAUUUAUUCUUAAUAUUAUUCGUUUUGCUCCUUCCAUUGUUGAGUGAGACCGGGAACAGCGUGUGAGGCGGGAGAAUUGAAAGUUCCAGAAACAAUUCAUUACCGUUUUGACUUGGAUGAUGUCUGAGUUACAAAAAGAGAUUAAGCAAACCUUACUGUGAGUAAUACCAAGCCUUCCUGACGAGCCACUCAAUCAGUCAGUUGAGAAAUGUGUAGGCUGAGGAGUAGAAGAUUUAAUGUACGUGAAAGAAGAGGACUUCUUAAGAGUUCAUACAACCUGUCCAGUGCCAAACUGUUCAGCGCCUGGAAAGAUCAUGAACAAAGAAGCAGCAUUUUGGUUCAGUAAUUAGUUUAACCUAGGUCUCCUCAAAAUUCACCACAAAUGAGCUCCUCAGGCUCCUCAGUAAGCAAAUGGAUGGACUCACGCUUCAAGCAGAUGCAUUUGCCACUUCAGCAGAUGUCCAAGGAACACUCAACUUGCCUGACAGUCCUUGAAUUAUAAUUCUUGGUCAAACUCUAAGCAACCAGCAGUGGAUGGUGAGCAUUGAAGGUCACGUUGUAUGUGAGGGAACACAACUCAGCUUUGUCUGUGGCCGUACUGCUGUGUUUGCUUCAUGUGUGGACACUUUUUCUUUGGUAUCGUUUCUUGUGACUGAAGACUUAGAAAGCAAAAUUAAAAUGAUAUAUUGACAUCAACCCUGAACAAAUGUUCAAGGCCAAUCAAGGAAAAGCUACAUCCAAGAAGACUA